rnacentral:rRNA from 1 species
GACGAACGCUGGCGGCGUGCUUAACACAUGCAAGUCGAACGGAAAGGCCCUGCUUUUGUGGGGUGCUCGAGUGGCGAACGGGUGAGUAACACGUGAGUAACCUGCCCUUGACUUUGGGAUAACUUCAGGAAACUGGGGCUAAUACCGGAUAGGAGCUCCUGCUGCAUGGUGGGGGUUGGAAAGUUUCGGCGGUUGGGGAUGGACUCGCGGCUUAUCAGCUUGUUGGUGGGGUAGUGGCUUACCAAGGCUUUGACGGGUAGCCGGCCUGAGAGGGUGACCGGCCACAUUGGGACUGAGAUACGGCCCAGACUCCUACGGGAGGCAGCAGUGGGGAAUAUUGCACAAUGGGCGGAAGCCUGAUGCAGCAACGCCGCGUGCGGGAUGACGGCCUUCGAGCUGUAAACCGCUUUCGCCUGUGACGAAGCGUGAGUGACGGUAAUGGGUAAAGAAGCACCGGCUAACUACGUG